GAUGAACGCUGGCGGCGUGCUUAACACAUGCAAGUCGAACGUGAGAAUAGCAAUAUUUGAAAGUGGCAAACGGGUGAGUAACACGUGGGAACCUGCCUCGAAGUGGGGGAUAACGAUUGGAAACGGUCGCUAAUACCGCACGGUUCUGCUCUGAUGGGAAUGGAGCAGAUAAAGAUUUAUCGCUUUGAGAGGGGCCCGCGGCCGAUUAGCUAGUUGGUAAGGUAAAGGCUUACCAAGGCGAUUAUCGGUAGCUGGUCUGAGAGGACGAUCAGCCACACGGGAACUGAGACACGGUCCCGACUCCUACGGGGGGCAGCAGUGAGGAAUAUUGGGCAAUGGGCGAAAGCCUGACCCAGCAACGCCGCGUGGAGGAUGAAGGCUUUAGGGUUGUAAACUCCUUUUGUGGGGAAAGAAUGGAUGGUACCCCAAGAAUAAGUCACGGCUAA
rnacentral:rRNA from 1 species